CUAUUAUUGACAAUAUGAGAUGCACUGUGCCUUUAAAACCAACAUCACAAAAUGUACUGAUGUAUACCAAACAUAUAAAGUGCAAUGUGCCUUAAUGCAUAUGAAAACACACAAGAAAACAUAUAGUAGUUUUGAAUUUCAGCCAGUGGUAGAACUAAAGAAGAGAGGGCCCUGGUUGAAGAAUAUUUUCUCUAUCACAAAGAUAGUAUCAGUCCCACAAUGUUUUGCCAGCUCUGGAU